GUAGUUAGCCGGGGCUUCCUCACAGGGUACCGUCACUUCUUCGUCCCCUGCGACAUAGGUUUACAAUCCGAAGACCUUCUUCCCUCACGCGGCGUUGCUGGGUCAGGCUUGCGCCCAUUGCCCAAUAUUCCCCACUGCUGCCUCCCGUAGGAGUCUGGACCGUGUCUCAGUUCCAGUGUGGCCGAUCAGCCUCUCAGCUCGGCUACCCAUCGUCGGCUUGGUGGGCUGUUAUCUCACCAACUACCUAAUGGGACGCGAACCCCUCUCAGAGCGAUAAAUCUUUGACCCCUUCACCAUGUGGUGCUGUGGUCUCAUGCGGUAUUAGCAGUUGUUUCCAGCUGUUAUUCCCCACUCCAAGGCAGGUUGUUCACGCGUUACUCACCCGUUCGCCACUAAAGUACUAAAUCUUCCAUCCGAAGACUUCUAAUUAAGUACUCCCGUUCGACUUGCAUGUGUUAGGCACGCCGCCAGCGUUCGUCCUGAGCCAGGAUCAAACUCUGA
rnacentral:rRNA from 1 species